UGAACGCUAGCGACAGGCCUAACACAUGCAAGUCGAGGGCAGCACAAGGAGCAAUCUGAGGUGGCGACCGGCGCACGGGUGAGUAACACGUAUGCAACCUGCCUGUAAGCGGGGAAUAACCCGUUGAAAGACGGACUAAUACCGCAUAAUACUAAAUUACUGCAUGGUAAUUUAUUUAAACAUUUAUGGCUUACAGAUGGGCAUGCGCAUGAUUAGCUAGUUGGAGAGGUAACGGCUCCCCAAGGCAACGAUCAUUAGGGGUUCUGAGAGGAAGGUCCCCCCACACUGGUACUGAGACACGGACCAGACUCCUACGGGAGGCAGCAGUGGGGAAUAUUGGUCAAUGGACGAGAGUCUGAACCAGCCAAGUCGCGUGCAGGAAGAAUGUUCCCUAUGGAUUGUAAACUGCUUUUGCAGGGGAAUAAAGUGCAUCACGUGUGAUGUUUUGUAUGUACUCUGCGAAUAAGGAUCGGCUAACUCCGUGCCAGCCGCCGC
rnacentral:rRNA from 1 species